ACUCCUACGGGAGGCAGCAGUGGGGAAUAUUGCACAAUGGGCGCAAGCCUGAUGCAGCCAUGCCGCGUGUGUGAAGAAGGCCUUCGGGUUGUAAAGCACUUUCAGUCGUGAGGAAGGUGAGUGUAGUUAAUAGCUGCAUUAUUGAUCGUUAGCGACAGAAGAAGCACCGGCUAACUCCGUGCCAGCAGCCGCGGUAAUACGGAGGGUGCGAGCGUUAAUCGGAAUUACUGGGCGUAAAGCGCAUGCAGGUGGUUUGUUAAGUCAGAUGUGAAAG
rnacentral:rRNA from 1 species